rnacentral:rRNA from 1 species
GUGGGGAAUUUUGCGCAAUGGGCGAAAGCCUGACGCAGCGACGCCGCGUGGGUGACGAAGGCCUUCGGGUCGUAAAGCCCUGUGGGGAGGAACGAACCGGUAUCGGGCUAAUAUCCCGGUACCCUGACGGUACCUCCUUAGCAAGCACCGGCUAACUCUGUGCCAGCAGCCGCGGUAAGACAGAGGGUGCAAACGUUGCUCGGAAUUACUGGGCGUAAAGCGCGUGUAGGUGGUUUGGCAAGUCGGGUGUGAAAGCCCAGGGCUCAACCCUGGAAGUGCAUUCGAAACUACCAAGCUAGAGUACUGAAGAGGAGAGCGGAAUUCCCGGUGUAGAGGUGAAAUUCGUAGAUAUCGGGAGGAACACCAGUGGCGAAGGCGGUUCUCUGGGCAGAUACUGACACUGAGACGCGAAAGCGUGGGAAGCAAACAGGAUUAGAAACCCUAGUAGUCC